rnacentral:rRNA from 1 species
CCUACGGGGGGCAGCAGUGGGGAAUAUUGGGCAAUGGAGGAAACUCUGACCCAGCAACGCCGCGUGAAUGAUGAAGGUCUUCGGAUUGUAAAGUUCUUUUCUAAGGGAAGAAGAAAGUGACGGUACCUUAGGAAUAAGCCUCGGCUAACUACGUGCCAGCAGCCGCGGUAAUACGUAGGAGGCGAGCAUUAUCCGGAAUGACUGGGCGUAAAGGGGUCGUAGGUGGUUUGGCAAGUUAGUAGCGUAACUCCAAGGCUCAACCUUGGAACUACUACUAAAACUGUUGGACUUGAGUGCAGGAGGGGCAACCGGAAUUCCUAGUGUAGCGGUGGAAUGCGUAGAUAUCACGCAGAACUCCGAUUGCGAAGGCAGCAUACCGGCGCUCAACUGACGCUCAUGCACGAAAGUGUGGGUAUCGAACAGGAUUAGAUACCCCUGUAGUC